AUAUAUGAAGGAACCUCAGAAAUACAAAAAUUGGUUAUAGCUGGAAAUCUUAUAAAAGAAUAUAAUUUCAGUUAAAUUGUAAUUUGUACGCACAAGCUAUAUAUUUUUAUAUAUUUUUUAUAUGGCAUACUUUGAUAUAUAAGAAAAGAAACAAUACAUGUUCCACAUACCAUGCCUUCUACUUUUAUUCGCUUUUGACUAUGUAAAUAUUUGACACAAAUAUACAUGCAUAUAUGUAUGUGUACUAAUGCACAGCAUACAUUUACACAUAUAUACUGGUAUUUUACUGGUUAACUCUUGGCAACAUUAUAGAAAUUUCUAUUAACGAUUUCUAUUCUGCUUGCCGUAAGGAACACCUAAUGCUUACCUACAUAUUAAGUAAUGGAUGUUAUAAUACAGGUAGUACAUAUUACGCACAGUAUAGUUCAAUUCCACAAAAAUAAUCUAUUAUAUUAGUGGAAUUCAAUGGAGAAACUAUAGGUUUGAAACAUACAGUGAAAGUUUCAAUAGAGCAGCAUAAACCUCAUUUCUUGGCAAUCAAUAUUAUAGCGAAAGAAAUCUAUCAAUUUGGUCCUAAAUAAAGAAUGUGGGACAACUUUGCUUUUCAAUGGAAAGCAUAAUGCACGAGCCUCACUUUUUGUAACCUACCAUAUCUAUUAUAACAUUGGUAUACAUUCUGAGAAAUAUAUUAUUAGUGAAAUUCGUA